AUAUUCUAACGUAUUUGAUAUUCAAUGCUGUAUUUAGACUCUUUUACGUCGUCAGAUUCGUAUCUUCAACUUCUUCCGAUCUUUGGUCUUAAAAUGACUUGGAUAGGUACGAGACUCGUACCUAUUUUAGUAACGGUCCGCACCUAUGUUGCUUUCUUUUUCCCUUAUCUGUUAUCGCCCGUGCCUCUUGGCUAUUUAUUGUGUUUUGACCGUUUGACCAGUCCACGUGUCAUGUCACGUCACCUACAAUGUAAAUUCAGUUUUUUACCAAUAUAGUCUGGUGCUUCUUCUUCUUCUUUCACAAUCUUUAGUGAAUGAGGAUGAGUUGGAGGCAGCGGAGAAGCAGUUAGAGGCAAUGCGGGAACAGGUAGAGAUGGAUUCAUUACGGAGACAACUACAAAAGCUGACAGAAAGGCACGAAGCAGGUCGUUUAAAAUUUGCUCAAUUUGAGAAACUAGUGCAUAAAGUCACUGAGGUAAGUUUUCUAUUUUUAUUUUUUUUGUAUUUACUGUUUUUCCUUUUUCAGAUCUUACUCAGUGUUUCUUUUUCUAUGUUUUUCUUGUAGUUUAUUUACUAUUUUUGCUUUUUGCAGAUCUGUAUUUAGUUUAUUAGGAUUUAGGUUUUAUGUGUGAAAGUAAUUGAUAAAAAUCUGUAAAAAUGAUUUGUGAUAGUUGUUUGAAAUGAUAUUUAUAGUUUUGUGCUAUCUUUGUGAUAAUUGUUGCGAUUUUCAAUUCCAUUUAGUUAAUGAAAAUUUUAUGCUGUAUAGUUGACGUUGGCUAAUUAGUUUAGAAGCGCGUAAUAUAUUCAAGUGAAAAAAAUUGUAGUGUCUAAAAACAUAUUUAGCAUCAAAUUUAAAAAGAUAUGCAUUGAAACUUUAAUUUUUUAGUCAUAGACAAUUAGCAAUUGUUGAGAAAGCCUAGCUUAACAUAGCCAGAAAACCCUGAAACAUGACAAAAAAGGUAGGAGUGUGACACUUAAUUAGAGAAAAUCGAAAGGUUAUGCUCCUUAUAAGUUAACUUGUACAUUUAAUUGAGAAUAUCUAAAAGAUUGUUAUAUUGAAGAAUUUAAAAAGUGAAUUAUUUAUUUGUUGAUUGUACGUGCAGAUGGAACAACGACGUAGAUGGAUGUAUAAAAGGAAUUAUCCCAAUCGUGGAGGGUUGAGGGAAGAAUUUGUACAAGGGGUUGCUGGAUUUAUUGAUUAUGCAAUGUCGCUCUCUCAAUUUUGUGAUGAAGGUACGAUUAGGUGUCCUUGUAAGAAGUGUAAGUGCAAAAAGUUGUUGAAGCCGGAGGAUAUUAAACUUUAUCUUAAUGAAAAUGGGUUCAAAAAAAAAAAAUUAUUUUUGGACUGCCCACGGAGAGAUUGCGCCUAAUAUGGAUAUGAAUUUUCAAAAUUUACUAAUGAGGAGGCCUUUCAGAAGAAGAGUACUAAGGCAAAGGGUGUUCAAGCAUCUGAAAAGGGCGGCUCGUUGCAGAACGAUGGUUUAGCUACUACGAGGACUCCCCGGAGGAGAUUGGUAACUUAUUUGAUAUAUUUAUCUUAGUUUUUAACUAUAUUCAGGAAUUUCUAAUAAACACCUAUUCUUUCUUUUGCAUCAAAAGACUUACAAUGAAGUCUUCCAGGAGACCAACACCAUGAAAAAGGAGGAUGAAAAAAAGGAUUGUGUUAAACUGCAGGCUAAGCAAACAUAU
rnacentral:lncRNA from 1 species